UCCUAAAUCCAAAACACAGCACUGAGACAGGGAACAAGACAAAGGAUGUUGAUUCUGUAGGUCUUAGCAAACACAAUUGUAUGUUGACCAAAAGGCAGGAAGACCCCAAAGAUAAGGGAGUGAAAGACUGUAUGCAUAGAUAAUGGAACCAGCAAGAACUUGCUUGGAUUGCUGAAGUCUGUUAAAGAAAGGAAAGGUCAGAAGUUUAGCAGCGAGGAAGACUUCUGGCCUUCAUCAAAAGACCAUCAGAGUAUGAUGGAUGACCACCCAAGGACUCCAGUACACAUGUGAAUAGGGGUGGGAAUCUAUGUUAAUGAUUCUUCAGAGACCUAAUGAAUAUGCAAGAGACUUACAGGAAAUUAGUUUGGCGACCCAGAUAGGACCCUCUCUGUCCGUCUGCCAGAGCUGCUGAGAUGUGGGACUCUCUAGAUGCACCCCGGGAGGUUCUUGGAGGGACUCCUCACCUCAGCUGGCUCACCGUGGGGACAGACAAGGACCAUCUUUUGCAAAGGUAUUCUUUUUGGAAUUCGGUUUGGUCAGUAUACCGUUGUUUUGGAAGGUACCCAUAAAGCAUACAAGACAUUCUUUGUUGGGUGCUGUACUACUAGUCACUUGGAGUCCAUGUGAUUUAGUUAGUACGUUGUUUUGUAGACGUUCUAUGUUGUGUGCCAUACCAUUUGUCACUGGGAGUCCAUGUGAUUUAGUUAGUACCUUGUUUUGUAGACCUUCUGCAUUGGGUGCCGUACUACUAGUCAUUUGAAGUACAUGUGAUUUAGUUGGUAUGCUGUUUUAACUUUGUUUUAGUUUUGGAUUUGUUCUGGCACUUUGAAUAUGUUCUUGACAUUGAAUAACGGAAUACGCUUAACGGAUCACGAUUCAUGCUGGGAAAUUUCUUGUAAUAAGUGUGUUACUAUUUAUAUAGUGAUUAUUGUUUUGUGUUCCUUGAGUGAAAAGUGUAAAGGGCCUCUUUGUGUGAUUGUGUAAUUAUGCUGUGUGAGUGACACGCAGCAUCACUGUGAAGCAAGUGAGGAGUCCUGAUCCGCGGUUCCGCUAUUCUGUGAGGAAUGUGGCUGGAGAUGAAUGAAGUGUAAGAUAUUGAGAAAAGACAUCAUAAUGGGAGCAACUUCGAGUACUAUUGAUAAAAAGACACCUCUGGGUUGUAUCUUGGCCCAUUGGAAGAGCAUUGGCCGGCCACCUGGAGGAAAUGUUAAUCGUAAGGCCUUAAUUAAGUGUUGUAACCAAUGGUAGACUUAAUAGAGAGAAAAAAAAAAAAUCAGGAUCCAGACUGGGGAGACAUUGAUCUAAUGUUGGGGGAGAUGAUGGAAACAGAAAAGAAGCUAAUUCUUAAAACAGCCUGAAUUCAUGUGCAAGCUCAGAUUGCCAAUGGGACCACUCAGGGAAGUGUAGACGAUUGCAUUCCCCUGACUGACCCCCACUGGGACCCUAAUCACCCUGGAAAUUAUGAACAGUUAUGUAAAUA